UCUGAGGGUACAGUCAAGUUCCGAUUUGAUCGGAAUUAUUCUUCCCCUCUAACAGGAGUUUACAAUCUUACGACAUUCAUCCUCCACGCGGCGUUGCUGGGUCAGGCUUUCGCCCAUUGCCCAAUAUUCCUCA
rnacentral:rRNA from 1 species